GUGGGGAAUCUUGCGCAAUGGGCGAAAGCCUGACGCAGCCAUGCCGCGUGGAUGAUGAAGGUCUUAGGAUUGUAAAAUCCUUUCACCGGUGAAGAUAAUGACUGUAGCCGGAGAAGAAGCCCCGGCUAACUUCGUGCCAGCAGCCGCGGUAAUACGAAGGGGGCUAGCGUUGCUCGGAUUUACUAGGCGUAAAGGGCGCGUAGGCGGACAUUUAAGUCAGGGGUGAAAUCCCGGGGCUCAACCUCGGAACUGCCUUUGAUACUGGGUGUCUUGAGUAUGAGAGAGGUGUGUGGAACUCCGAGUGUAGAGGUGAAAUUCGUAGAUAUUCGGAAGAACACCAGUGGCGAAGGCGACACACUGGCUCAUUACUGACGCUGAGGCGCGAAAGCGUGGGGAGCAAACAGGAUUAGAAACCCCAGUAGUCC
rnacentral:rRNA from 1 species